rnacentral:rRNA from 1 species
UACGUAGGGUGCGAGCGUUAAUCGGAAUUACUGGGCGUAAAGCGUGCGUAGGUGGUCUGUUAAGCUAGCUGUGAAAUCCCCGGGCUCAACCUGGGCACUGCAGUUAGAACUGGCAAGCUAGAGUAGGGUAGAGGGGUGUGGAAUUCCAGGUGUAGCGGUGAAAUGCGUAGAUAUCUGGAGGAACAUCAGUGGCGAAGGCGACACCCUGGACUCAUACUGACACUGAGGUACGAAAGCGUGGGGAGCAAACAGG